rnacentral:sRNA from 1 species
UAAUAUGCUUAAUGCCGCACGUGCGGCAGCGGGAGAACCGGAUCGGGCGGCCGUCUGUCCAAUCGGGCACAGCGUGUGUCCUUGGUGUGAAUUCGCUCAGGCGAUAGGGGAACCUUCUUCUCCGAAUCCGACAGCUAAUCUCGUCAGCGUAAGAGGGA